CACUGGCAGCGCGCGCUGGCGACCGAGACGGAGGAGAGCCGGUCUCCGCCACCGCCGUCCGUCCUCCGUCCCUCCCCGCACGCCGAGAUCGGUGGGAAGCGGCGGCGCCCUGAAAUAAAGCGCUAUAAAUACACCCCACCCGCCCCGCGCCCGGGCUUUCGCGGGGUGACCGGGGGCGUCUUUCCGUGCUCCGGUCCUCCUGGCCAGAGAGAGAGAACAAAACAAACAAAAAAAAGAGUCCCGUCCCGAAGCCCUGCAGUGGCCGGACACCCACACACACGCUCAGAGACUAACCACCAAAAAAAAACAAAAAAAACACGCAAAACCGAGCGGGCGCGCGCCGUGUGACCCGCUCCCAUCCGUCGUGACGCAAGAGGCGCAUUUCGUCCCGUCGCGCGGUUUUCGUCCCGAGCGGAUUCUGCGAAACUUACUCCCGAGCGCGGCUUCCGUGCAGCGGCGCGCCGCGGUCCCGGGGUGCGGAGGAGAGGCGACCGGGGAGCCCGGCCUUGGCGUGUCCGGAGGGGACAGCCGCCCCUGUCCCCCUGUCCCCGCUCAGGACGAGAUUGUGUCUCGGACUUGCUGCCGGUGAGGUUCUGACCACCUCUCGUCCCCGUUCUGCGUCACCGGCCGCACAGCGAUGUGUUUUCAGACGACAGGACAAGAUAUGGACAGUGUCAACAUUUGAUAAGGUUUAAGAGAAAGAUAUUUCCAUUCAUAAAGGACUGCAGACUGGGAUCUUGCCAGGAGCGCAGGAGAAGGGGCAUCGGCUGCUGUGCGCCCAGCAGAUUCCAGGAUCACCCUGCUUACUGGUCCCACAACACUGGGAAUUACGCUGGGACUUGUCCUGGGGGGGUUGAGGCAGACGUUACCCCACGUCUGAUGCGUGUCAGAAGACUACACAACGUUGCAGCGUUUUCCAAAUUAAAGUCAUAUGUCUUAUAUAUUAGGCUAUUUUUUUUUUACUCCACAGGAAAUAUUUGGCUUUUCUGGCUUAAAGCGUACGUGUGAGGCGCAGUUGCCUAAAAGUUCAGAAGUUUUCUGUGUUUGCUGCACUGCUGUUUGAACUGGUUUUAUAGACUGUAAUAAAACAUAAAAAUAAAAAAAAAAACA
rnacentral:lncRNA from 1 species